CAUAUGUUAUCGUUGAGACAUACACCGGAAGAACAACAAGUUCGAAGGCGGAUCUUUCCCUGGCAGGAAAGUGGACAGAGCUUCGACGGAGCGCGGAAAAGACUUUGUGAUGGGGAAUUGGAAACGGAUAAUGUUCAGGGCUAACAGGACCCCAUAUAUCUGAUCCCCGACAUUUACGCAGCUUUUACGCGAUUUACCUGAUCUGGAACAUGAUGGGGGUUCGCAGGAGCAAAAGUCUGGCAGACAAUCACCAACGGCCUUUUUUCGUUCCGACAUACAGCCCUUUAUGAUAAAGGAUGCGUUAUGGCCAGCUGACACGCAGGACUUUGAUGCAAUUCUACCGGCCCAAGUACACUGCUCAGAAUCAAGCCCACCCGAAAACUACUGUUGGGCCGGGAACUUGCUGCUUCACGAGCCGGCGCUCCAGGGACAAGGUAUGGGACCAUUAUACAGUU